GUCCAUUCCGUUGGCCUCGCCGCUACGUCCUCUGGGGCGUGUAGUACGUGCCUUAAGCUGAGCACGCUGUGCAGUCCAGGCAUUUUUUUUUUUUUUUAAACCUGCUUUGGGGACUGGAUCUUCAUCGGAGAGAAGCUGCAUGUUGGAAUGGGAUUUGGAGUUACCAUAAUGGAAGCAAAAUACGUGAAGGAAAAAGUUACCUGUUUUCCAGCAUAUUGCAUCUGACUACUAGUUGCAAAUGGUUUUCUUUAGCUAAGAAAAUUUGUGAUGUGAAUGAAAAAUUACCUUUCUUUUAGACUCAUUACUUGUAAAUAUGCUUCGCCUAAGAGCCAUUUAUCCAUGCUCCUGGAGAGUGUUUCAAUUUCGAACCUGCAGUUGUAAACCACUAAUUAGCCAGAUGAUUAAGUGUACAGAUGAAGAGCAAGUAUUUGAUCUUAUUAAGAAAAACAAAGCCACAUUUUCAGAAAAGCAAGUGGAAUGUGCAUUUAAUAUACUUUGGCAGUUUCAACAGCAAAGGACCAGCUUUUUAAAAAAUGUUGACUGUAUCAGAGACUAUCCCCACUUUCUUACUCUUCAUAAUUUAGCUACAAGUCAAAUAGAAUUCAUGGAUGAUGAUACCCUGGUGAAUGUGUUGUACUUCAUACAGCAGUGUGCUCCUGAGGCCCAUGACCUUCUGGUUGAAGCACUAGUUAUAGAAUCAUGGAGAAGACUAGAAAGGUUUGAUAUUAAUGUGCUGUCAAAAUUUUCCUCUUGCCUAGCAAAUCAACUUUUAUAUUACAGUCCAUUAAUGGGAAAAAUAGCUGAUAUUGUACAUAGGAACCUGGAAACCAUAGACGAUUUAAGAUCCUUGUCUGUAUUGAUGGUCAGCAUAUCUUCUUUAACAUCACAACGAUUUCAACAACAGUUAGUGAACAAAACAGAACAUCUUUUUGAUACCAUAGAUUCUUCCCAGGUUAACGUUGCAAGAAGAAUAGUACAGUUUCUUCGAAAUAUUAAAUAUAGUUAUUACCCACUAUUAGAAAGGUGCAAUAAAGUGUUUUUAAGCAAUAUGAACCACCUUGAUUUGGACUGCAUCAGUAAAAUACUUAGUCUGUACCACUCUCUGCAGUUUCAUAGUUUUGAAUUUGUUAAAAUGGCUAAAAAGAGGCUAACUGAAAUGAUUCCUCUGUUUGAUCACCCUGAUGGCUUUGUAAAACUUUUUGUAGCAUUGGGACCCAUGGCAGGACCUGAAGAAAAGAAACAACUUAAAUCAACUAUAUUAUUGAUGUCAGAGGAGCUAACCAGCCAGCAAGCCCUGGCAGUGAUGAGUGCAAUGGAAGAGAUGGAAAGCAGAAAUUCACAUCUGAUUAAAAAAAUCGCUUCAAUUCUGCAUAAACAUUUGGAUGACUAUAAACCAUUCGAGUUAUUGAAGAUAACUCAAACAUUGACUUUUCUACAUUUUCAAAGUAAAGAGCUUUUUGUGAAACUCAGAGAAUUACUGCUUAGGUACUUGAAAAUUAGUGUUAUACCUAGUGAGAUUGCCAUCCUGGUCUAUGCUCUUUCCAUUCUUCCAUCUUCUAACCUAGGUGAAGUGGAGAUAUCUCAAAUUGAAGCAGUUUUACCACAGUGUGACCUAAAUGACCUGAAUGGUUUUGCCACAUCUGUUUUAAGAUGGAUUCAUUAUGAUCGCAAAUAUCUGGAUAGUACCACUGGGAAACAACUGAAACUGCUUCAAAAACUAGAUCACUAUGGACUUCAGAGACUACGAAAUAGCAACAGUUUGAAUCUGUUAUGGAAAGAACUUAAAUCUUUAAAAGGAGACUGGUUUACUGAGUCACUUCUUGAAGAAACAGUUGCUACUUUACUGCGUUUGAUGGAUGAAAUUAAUUCCAAAAAUGUUGCAGAGAUUGCAUCUUUUAUUUCUAGAACAAACUACCUCAAUACUUUGCUACUUGAUAGGAUAGCCUCAGUGGUUGUUCAGCAGAUUGAAAAGAUCCACCCUUUUGAGAUUCUUGGUAUUAUUCUUCCAUUUAGCGCCUUGAACUAUGAUCCACCUCAAAAUGAUGAAUUUUUCAGGAUUUGCAUUCAACACCUGAAUUCUUACUUAAGUGGAUUGGAGCCUCCCAUGUUAGUGUUUCUUGGUUUCUCUUUGGCUGCACUUGGAUAUUUUCCGGAAGAUCUGCUGAAGGCAAUUUUUAAUAUCAAAUUCUUGUCCAAAAUGGAUUCUCAACUUGAACUUUUAUGUUCAUCUCUAAAUAGGAGAGUCCAGUUUCGUCUUAUGGAAUUAAAUAGAGCAGUCUGCUUGGAGUGCCCUGAGUAUCAGAUUCCAUGGUUUCAUGACCGCUUCUGUCAACAACAGUAUAACAAAGAUAUUGGCAGCAUGAAUGGAGCACAAAAGCAGAUUUAUAAAAUGUUAGCAGAGGUGCUAGGAGGAACCAAUUGUGUAAAAGCCUCGGUUCUUACCCCUUAUUACCACCGAAUAGAUUUUGAGUGUGUCUUGGACAAAAAGAAAAAACCUCUUCCGUAUGGAAGCCAUAAUAUAACUUUGGGAAAACUGCCAGAAAUGCACUGGGAAUCAAACACCCAAAUAACUGGAUCAAGACUGCCACCAGGAGCUGAGAGGAUUGCUCUGCAAUUUUUGGAUUCAAGAGCUUUUUGUAGAAACAUCCCUCACUUAAAAGGAAAAUCUGCUAUGAAAAAACGACAUUUGGAAAUUUUGGGCUAUCACAUAAUUCAGAUCCCUCAUUUUGAAUGGAACUCUAUGGCAUUGUCAACAAAGGAAGCACGGAUGGACUACCUGAGAGAACGGAUAUUUGGAGAAGGCAAAUCAUGAUUGUAGUUUUUAUUUAAAAUUAGUGAUGAUGGUGUGUCACAUCUGAACUUAUUGUAAUUAAGUGAUCUGACUCAAUGAAAAAAUAAUAGUACAGAAUUGACUGAUUUCAAGCCCUGCUUCCAAGAGUGAUAUAUUUGUGCUGGGCAGAAAGCCAUGUUGUAACUAACCUCAGGCCACCCGGUGGGAGUGCAGGUAACUAGCGUCUGAAACUUGCUAUCCUCUGACUUCAUGACCCUGUAAGUUCAUUCUGUCCCAAAAUAAGUUGGUCACCAGAGUGCCUUGAGUCUUCAGUAUAGCUACAAAACAUGUGUCAUGUAUAGAUUUAGGUCUGUUGAUAUUUGAUUUGGGUUUAAAGUACUUGUUUAACUUAUCUUUACUUUGCAUAAUGUGAAAUCCAAUACAUAAUGGUUUGUAACAUGUAAAGUUCACAGAACCUUUUGUGAAAAACAAGAUCAAAACAGUAAGCAAAUGAAAGAUGUCUUUUUUUUUUUUUUUUUU